AUUAAAGGGAGAGAGAACGAGAGGCAUCAGAAAACAGAGGGCUAGUAUGCUCCUCCUCCUUCAACAGAGACAACCAUGACAAUUAGCUCAAAAAUCCCAUCCAAAGACCACCUCAAAGCGUCAGCGUCUCCACCACCAAACUAGCAGCUUCACACCUUCAUCUUCAUCCCAAAAAGCUAUCAAAACAGCCUCAUUUUUUCACUCAAAAACGCUACCGAAACAAACCCCAAAAUCAACUCACAAACCUCCAUGAAACACAUGAAAAUAAAGCCAAUAAAUACUACUUAAACCCCAGAAAAAUUCAGCCAUGAAGGCUUCAUCUUCCACCCUCAAAACCAGUCUUUCAACCCCAUGAAAAGCUGGUCACUUUCAGACAUAAAACAGUCCAAAAUGUAGUAAAAAACGCAGCUGCUUCAUUCGAUAAAAACGCAGCUGCUGCUUCUUUUCUUCCUCCAAAAUUGACCUCAAACCACCCUUAAACCACUGGCAAAACCAGCCACGAAAAUCAGAUCCAGAAUAGCUUUUUUUUUUUUUUUUUUUUACCGAACAAAACAGCAGCGCCAAGAGUCGAGGUCGACGGUGAAGUCCCAUUUCUUUGUUCCUGUUCGAGUUUCCGCUUCGGGUCUUUGUUCGCGUCUAUGUAAAUCAGCCGGUUCCUUAAUAAAAAGGGAAAGCUCUGCUCAUCAAAGGAUCUGAGGCAGGUGCAUCUGGCUAUCAUCCCGGCGCGUACUCUUGAUACUCCGAGACUUUGCGAUGAGCUGCCUUUCGAGCCCGUUCUGCAGCACCCGACGUCUUUCUCUUGCAUUUACUUUCUGUCUAUUUUAUUUCAGACAGUAGUGUAGUAUAUUUUUUGUAUAUUCUACUAGUAGCUCAUAUACUUGUGACAUCGGGUCUUGAAAAUUAUGCUAGUAGGCACUUGAUGAUUUUUUAUUAUUUACUUCACCUAA